AUGGGGCGGGGCUUAUGCAAAACGUGUCGCCUUCGGGAGGCACAUAGUGAUACAAGAUCUGGGAGGCGGCUCCGGCGCGGACCUCGGAGAGCACAGCUGUCGGCCCGGGAGCCAGUCUCGGUCCCCGCGGCCCGCCGAGGCUCGGAGCCAUCCAGCGACCCGGCGAGCGGCCUCAGGCGGCAGCAACUGAAGAACCCACCCCUGGGCAGGAGACCGCCCACCUCAGUCCAGGCCCAUGGGUGCAGAGGAGGAGGCAGAGCUGCCUCCUUAUCCCCAGCUCAGGUGAGAACAACCAUUGCUCUGGCCCCCAACAUACACGCGUGCACACACACACGCACACAGAUGCACACACAUACAUCUGGGGGUGUGGUGGCGCUGGUGCUAGCUCCAGGCGCUGGUCACCCUCCCUUCUGUUUGGAUAUGGGUUGUCUGUCCAGCCCCAUGGCAAACUCCCACCUCCACAGAUAGCCCCUAGCCACUUUUCAUCAGGGAGCCCCUGCCCCCAAAGACAGCCUCCCCCUCCACAGAGCACUGCCUUCUCCUUGUCUCCAGACACUGUCCCCACUUACCACCCCUCAAGCUGACAGAGACCACAGCAUACCUGAGGGAGGGACAAUGCUCCUUCCCCAGUUUUUCUCCUCACAGACAGUCUCGACAGCCUUCCUCAGUGGCCCCCAGUGCAAGGCAGAGGCCCCAUAUUUGGCAACUCUCAUGCUGGUGGGAGGAUGAACCAAGGACACCACGCCCAGCAGACCACCCAUGCCCUGUCAGUCCAGUUGCUGCCAAGGCCCCAACCUCCAUACCUCCUCCCUCCCCGCUCACAGCCAGGCACCAAGUCCUCUCAUUCUGCCUGUCAAAUAUCUCUCUAAUUUGUAUGACUAUUUGCUCCCUCUCUCCAUCUUCCUGCUGCUCCGUGGGGACCCUGCCAAAGUGCCAUGUGGGCUGUGUUGCUCCUGGCCCUAAAGUGGACUGUACCUGGAGGGCAGAUGAGCUGGGUUCAAAUCUUGCACAGCCAAAGUUUGACUUUGGCCAAGUCACUUCCCUCUCUGAUCCUUCAUGAAAAUGGGGAGGGGUAUAAGAGAGAGGGUAGACUGGGUGAGAUGAACUUGAACAGCCUUCUGGUACUAAGACACCCUGGUUCUAUGGCUGAUUAUGGAAAAACAGAACCCUGAACCAAGAGGACAUUAAAGAGAGGAGGCCUGAGGGGGGCGGGGUUGGUUUAGAACUCACUGAAGGCACAUUCUUUCUUACCUAAGCCUAGGUACAGGCUACCUCCUCCUACACACUCUCUAGGCCCCUUCUAUUAGGAGUCCCUCCUAGACCACUAGCCCAUCCUGACAUGGACAGCUCCAAAUUGAAGGUGACCAUCAGGGCUUACUCUUUGUUUGUCAUCCCCUGCCUCUCAUUAAGAAGGAGAGGGAAAAGACCUGGUUGCUGCUGCUAUUGCUGCUGCUUGGGGAAGAGCAAAGGGAGGAGAGGAAAGAGAAAAUCUCCUGACCAGGGAGCUACUGUCACUAUGGCAACCGCCUCAGCACCGGCUCCUCUGAAGCUGGGUGAGGGUGUGGGAUUAUUGCUUCCUUCAGUCCCUCCCAUUCAAAGCCUCAGCCACCUCUCCAUUCAAGCCCCACAGCCCUUAGCCCUCUUGAAGAACCCUCUGGGCAUGCUGGGGCAGUGGUUUUGUGUAUGGGGCAGUCUCAGCUCCUUCACAGCUGGAGGAUAGCCCUCAAGAGGUAAGCAGAGGAGCCUGCCCAGGUUCAGCAGGGCCACAGCUCCAGCAGAGCAUUGUCCCCAGCUGGGUUCUGGCCUUCACUUUGCUGCUGAUGGGCUAUAGUUAACCUUGGGUGAACCCUUCCUUUCCCUAGGUCUGGGUUCCAUUGUCUCUGAAGUGGGUGUGAGAGCAGAAGAACGCAGAUAAACAAAACAGCCUGACAUAGAUCCAGGGAGGAAGAAGGGGGUUCUGCUCCUCUUAUGUAAUCCACCAAGAGACAUUCAUUGAACAUCACUGUGUCCUAGGCAUUGCCACUAUGUCUCCGCAGGGCAGUUCUGUGUAGGCACAGAAGGCAGGGUGGGAACCAGGGUAGGGGAGCUAUAAGAGAGAAAACCCCCUGCUCUUAUGGGUCCCAGACCCAGUGAGGACUAAGCAGUCACUGAGAGAAGUGAGUGCAUAGGGAAAAGCACUUUUAUUUCCCCCAUGGGAAAAAUAAACUUUUCUCACCCUUCAACCUGCUCAAAAGUGGACUGGGGCAUAUUGGAGGGGAUCAACUCCUUGCCAUUGAGCAAAAAGGUCUGGAGAGUUUUUUUUCUGACUCAGACAGGGGUUUAAUGCAAAGACCUGUCUCAAGUCAGACUGCAUCCUGGGAUUCUACAGGACCAGGUGAGGGUCAGAGAGCUCUGAAGUCUACAUGCUUGUGGGGGACUGACUCAUGCCCAAAGUGCUCAGCCCAGGCUGCUGACUCUCCACUGUCCAGACUGGAAAAGGCUGAUCAUAAGGAAGCAGGCUUCAACCAGGCCCUGAAGACUGAUUAUAGCCCAGGAGAGAAGAAAGGAUAUUAGGGGAGAGGAAAAUAGCUUAGCAAAGAGGUGAGGCGUGUCUGGCUGUGAGAAGGCUGGCUUGAGAGGAGUAUUUGGUGGUGAGGUAAGCAAUGAGAGCUGAGGCUAGAUAGGUGGGCACUUUGAGACCAGAUUCUAGAGGAUUCUGGAGUUUCAGGGGACCCAUGGGCAUGGCUACUUCUAGCCCAUAUUGUACCUUUUGGGGGGAAAAAGCCAUUCCCUCCUAACAGAGGAAUCAAAAGAAAGGCACUUCCUGCCAGGCAGGGAAGCCCCAUGGGCAAGAGCAUAGUUUGACUUCAGCCCCUCGGCUGUGUCACUGGCUAUGGACAUAAUGAAGGUACCAAGAGCAUUUCAAAAUAAGAGACAACAGGACUUGAUGGCAAGUUAGACCUAAGGCAAAGGGAAGAGAAAAAAUGAAGGUAGCUAAGAUUGUGUUCCCCAUACCCCAGGGAUGAGGGAGAGAAGGAAGGGGCAACAGAGACAGUCUGACCAUCUCUGGUUGGGAGCGAGUCUGGCUGUAGACUUGCUGGCUCAGAGGUGCUGGUGGGCACCCCUAGGGGUGACUAUCUCCUGGGUAUCAGAGAUUGUGGCCCCAGAUAUUUCCACUGGGGCCAAAAGGGAGAUCAGAGCUCUGAUUUUCCCAGAGGGCAGAUGUGGGUGGAAAAGGUCUGUGCU
rnacentral:lncRNA from 1 species